UGCAUAUCAAUAAGCGGAGGAAAAGNNNCCAACAGGGAUUGCCUUAGUAACGGCGAGUGAAGCGGCAAAAGCUCAGAUUUGAAAUCUGUUGCCAUAGAGGCAUCCGAAUUGUAAUCUGUAGAGGAGUAUUCGAGUAUGGCUUUGGCUUAAGUUCCUUGGAACAGGGCGUCAUAGAGGGUGAGAACCCCGUUUACGGCCUUUGUCUUAUGCUUAUGUGAAUCUCUUUCGAUGAGUCGAGUUGUUUGGGAAUGCAGCUCUAAAUGGGUGGUAAAUUCCAUCUAAAGCUAAAUACUGGCAAGAGACCGAUAGCGCACAAGUAGAGUGAUCGAAAGAUGAAAAGAACUCUGAACAGAGAGUUAAAUAGUACGUGAAAUUGUUGAAAGGGAAGCACUUACUACCAGACACACUUGUAGCUGAUCAGCCUCCAAUUUUGGUGGUGCACUCAGUUGUAAGUGGGUCAGCAUCAGUUACAGCGGUGGAAAAAAGACUUUGGGAAUGUGGCUUCCUUCUGGAAGUGUUAUAGCCCAUUGUGUAAUGCUACCUGUAGUGACUGAGGACCGCGCUUCGGCAAGGAUGCUGGCAUAAUGGUCGUAAGUGACCCGUCUUGAAACACGGACCAA
rnacentral:rRNA from 1 species